CAGUAGCCGCGGGAAUACGAAGGGUGCAAGCGUUACUCGGAAUUACUGGGCGUAAAGCGUGCGUAGGUGGUGGUUUAAGUCCGUUGUGAAAGCCCUGGGCUCAACCUGGGAAUUGCAGUGGGUACUGGGUCACUAGAGUGUGGUAGAGGAUAGUGGAAUUUCCGGUGUAGCAGUGAAAUGCGUAGAGAUCGGAAGGAACAUCUGUGGCGAAGGCGACUAUCUGGGCCAACACUGACGCUGAGGCACGAAAGCGUGGGGAGCAAACAGGAUUAGAUACCCCCGUAGUCCCUGUCUCUUAUAC
rnacentral:rRNA from 1 species